UAAUUUCUUAUAUAUAUAAAUAAUUUCUUGAGGUUUUCUUGCCGUGUCCCCAAGUAGAGUUGAAAAUGCUGGAUUUUCUACAAUGAAUAAUUCCAAGCAUGAUAAAAAAAAAUGCAGAUUUCAUGGACUGCAGUGCAAUUUGAACUGAAAUUAUACAAUGAAUUUUUCAAGCCUAACUUCACAGGAUGCAUGAAUAAAUUAUGUUUUGAACAAAACUUCACACUUCUUUUUGGAUUGAACCUAUUCCGUUAAGUUGCCUGUUGCAUAAAAUUAAUCAGAACGUAACCUGGGGCACUGGAAAUUUUCCUUUUUUUUUUUUCUUCUUUUUUCAAGUAUCCUUUCAUAUGCCCACACCAGUACGUGCUCAGUUCAGACUGGUCAAUUGAAAUAGCCCCCUUAAAUUGUCCCAGCAUUCACUCUUGCCAGCUCUGUUAGCCCAAACAGCAACAAUCCUCUAAUUCCUGUGUCCCUGUAAAUGACUGCUGCAGUAAAGCUUUAGAAGGAGUCAAGUUGCAUAGGGUUGCAUGCAGUACCGUUUCUCUGCUAACUCUUAUCUGUUCUCCCCAGUACUUCAGUGUAUUCUUCAGAUGUUAAAAAUGUGUCUGUAGCAGGCCUUUGGUACUGUGGUAUGCAGAUAAAUCGUGAGGGGUGCAUCUAGAUAAUAAGUGCUUCGUUUUCCCAGAGCAUUUGUGGAGAAGGAACUGCAUAAGCAUAAAAUAAAUAAAGAAAUCCUCGAUACCAAGUGUUUUUUUUGGAACAUUGAGAGUAGAACGUAGAGGCAAAAUUGAAGGUAAAAUAUUGUGCAAAACUGAACAAAAUGAGAGGAACUGCACGAGUCAUGCAAAAUGAUAAAGACGGAAGAGAGGACAUCUAUGACCCUCAUUUGUUCUUCACAAGUAUGCAUGUGCACCACGCAUUUCUGCUGUCAGAUGGAGUUGGAUGAUAGAAUGGAAUUAAAGCCUUUUGUGAAUGUCAUUGAACUGCAAUAAGACCUGGAAAUAAAGAGCUCCAGAGGUGCGUGGUGGUAAUGAGUUUGCUGGAAGGAUGCAGAUUUGGGGAUAGACAAGGAGCUCCUUGAAAUCCAGCUGAACCUGACUGGAAGAGAGAAAAGUAUCUCAAGCAGGCUUUGAUUGGGGCAUACGAAGCGGAUCGCCCACGUUUGAUCAAAGAGACCAGUUCUAUUCACAGGGAGGAAAUGGGGGAAGGUGCAUCUUCUGGACUCAGAACUCUGGAGAGAGUUGAAGCUCCCAGUGCAAGAGAGCACAAGGAAAGAGAUUCAUGUGGACACAGAACGAGAUAAUAUGUGCAUAGUUUCAAGUUAUGUAAAGCACUAAAUAUUCAGCAAUGUAGACCAAAGAGACAUUGGAAUCUCUCUGGGUCUUUAGACACCAAACUCCAUCUCUUCUCCCUACCUGCUGGCAAGCCAUCAGAAUAUGGUUCAGAACCUUUUACAGUUAGCUGCAAGAGGAAAAUAAAGAAUAUCACUACAUGUUUGCAUUAGUUUUUGGUGUGCAUAGGAGCAAGCAACAUACUGCACUGCUUUUGUUUGUAUGAUGCUAAAUAUCUGAAGCAUGACUGUUCUUACCUCUCAGUAAAACUUUUGAGAAUACUGUGACUUGUCUAAGAACACUGAUAUCAUUCCCAUUUUCAUGAGCUGUAUUUGAAAUGUAUAUGAAUUCUUGUUUACUCGUGAAAUAGCACAAAUAAAAAAAAAACC